AACGUAGGACGCAAGCGUUAUCCGGAGUUACUGGGCGUAAAGGGCGGGCAGGCGGUUCGUCAAGUGGGGUGUGAAAGCUCCCAGCUUAACUGGGAGAGGCCAUUCCAAACUGACGGACUGGAGGCAGCAGAGGUAGGCGGAAUUCCAGGUGUAGCGGUGAAAUGGCGUAGAUAUCUGGAGGAACACCGGUGGCGAAGGCGGCGUCCUGGACCAACACUGACACUGAGGAGCGAAAGCCAGGGGAGCAAACGGG
rnacentral:rRNA from 1 species